ensembl:lncRNA
UAAUCCUAGAGCAGGUAAGAACAGGCUAGAGCAGGUAAGGCAAGGCUUGGUAAACAAUAGAGACUAUGGCAACCGAGCGCAUUACUUCGCAACGACAUAUAGUGACUGAACAGUCUCUUCUGUAGUGUGGUGUGAUUAGUCCACAGGAGAAGGUGACGUGUCUGUGUGUGGUUUUGGUUGUUGUAGUCGUCGGCCAUGUUUGUAGUUUGCCGUGCCUUCUGGGAAAUGGAGUCGCUAGUUUGCCGUGACAUGACGGCUAUCAAACUGGAGCUGCUAUAACCUUAUAGCCUAAUGUUAAGCUCUCACAAACAUAAUCAUAGGAAUAUUGAAGUCAAAUAAUAGAUUAAACCAUGAUGUAGUGCAGACCAGCAGUGUGGAAAAUGUUAGCAUUAGCUUUACCGUAUAACACUGACAUUUCCUUUCCUUUCCUACAAAAUGUAUUUCUGUCUUUUCAGAAUUGUAUUUUAUGUGUCUGCAUUUCAUCAGUUGCAGUAUUUUUUUUUUUCGUUUAUUUUGAUAUAUUUAUCUCUGAGGUACGUAGAUAUGUAUAAUUUAUCCAAACAUUUUAACUUCCUUUAUGUGUCUAAAUAUUCUUAGACAUCAAACGCUCCGUCUCAUCCAUUAUCCAUUUUGAAGGGGCAGACUGAGCUCAUGGUUUCCCUAACACCCCUCAUCAGCAGUAAAUACAGUCCAUUCAGCAGCAGCGUGAUGUCCUCAUCGAGCUGAAAGCACACACCGGAUCCUCUGGGUCCUGCACUAUAGAUCAGGCUGAGACAGCUCAGAGACACGAGCAAACACACAGAGCCGGCUCGCUCAUCACCGAUUCGGCUUCAUUCUUACAGUCCGGUGCAGAAUAAAAACACUACUAAUAGUGUGGUGGAACUGAAGAAGAACAUUUACAACAGUAACGAUAAGCGUUUUCAUUAUAUAUCACCCAUCAGCAGCUCAAAAAUACUUCACAUGGGACUCGAAGAACAUAAAGCAAACAGUUCUGAUCGAUUAAAACCAUUAACUGAAUGAAAAAUGAUCAGAAUGCAAAGGUAUGUAAAAAAAAAACAACAACAUGAAAUGUAAAUCAUAAAAAUAACACAGAAGAAAGGGGAAACAAACAAUGACACAGUUAUCAUCUAUCUUUAAAGAAGGCGUGGUCAGUGUCUCUUUUAUUAUCAGAGAAGGAGGCGUGGCCUCUGUGUCAGUACAAGUGAAAGACACAUGGUCCCUGUGUCAGUACCAGUGAAGGAGGAAUAGUCCUCUUUAAAGGAGGCGUGGCCCCUGUGUCAAUACCAGUGAAGGAGGAAUGGUCCUCCUUAAAGGAGACGCAAUACCAGUGAAGGAGGAAUGGUCCUCCUUAAAGGAGAUACGGCCCCUGUGUCAAUACCAGUGAAGGAGGAAUAGUCCUCCUUAAAGGAGGCGUGGCCCCUGUGUCAAUACCAAUGAAGGAGGAAUAGUCCUCCUUAAAGGAGGCGUGGCCCCUGUGUCAAUACCAGUGAAGGAGG